rnacentral:rRNA from 1 species
AGUGAACGCUGGCGGUAGGCCUAACACAUGCAAGUCGAACGGCAGCACAGGAGAGCUUGCUCUCUGGGUGGCGAGUGGCGGACGGGUGAGGAAUACAUCGGAAUCUACUCUGUCGUGGGGGAUCACGUAGGGAAACUUACGCUAAUACUGCAUACGACCUACGGGUGAAAGCAGGGGACCUUCGGGCCUUGCGCGAUUGAAUGAGCCGAUGUCGGGUUAGCGAGUUGGCGGGGUAAAGGCCCACCAAGGCGCCGAUCCGUAGCUGGUCUGAGAGGAUGAUCAGCCACACUGGAACUGAGACACGGUCCAGACUCCUACGGGAGGCAGCAGUGGGGAAUAUUGGACAAUGGGCGCAAGCCUGAUCCAGCCAUACCGCGUGGGUGAAGAAGGCCUUCGGGUUGUAAAGCCCUUUUGUUGGGAAAGAAAUCCAGCUGGCUAAUACCCGGUUGGGAUGACGGUACCCAAAGAAUAAGCACCGGCCAACUUCGUGCCAGCCGCCGCGGUAA